UCCGGAAUCCGACGCUCUCCCCAAGGACACAAGCCAUGCAUGCCCGCGCACCCGGGAGGCGGCGGACGGCUCAGGACAACGGUUGCACCCCCCGCGGCGGUCCCUGCUAGCCGGACACCGCUGGCAACCCGGCGCCAAGACGUGCGCGCAAGGGCGGGCGCCCGCGGGCGAGCAGCGUGACGCAGCGACGGCCCGCCCGGGCUUCCGGGGC
rnacentral:rRNA from 1 species